UACGGAGGGUGCAAGCGUUAAUCGGAAUUACUGGGCGUAAAGCGUGCGCAGGCGGUUUGUUAAGUCUGUUGUGAAAUCCCCGAGCUCAACUUGGGAAUUGCAAUGGAUACUGGCAGGCUGGAGUAUGGUAGAGGAAGGUGGAAUUCCCGGUGUAGUAGUGAAAUGCGUAGAGAUCGGGAGGAACACCAGUGGCGAAGGCGGCCUUCUGGACCAAUACUGACGCUCAUGCACGAAAGCGUGGGGAGCAAACAGG
rnacentral:rRNA from 1 species